AAACUCAAAGGAAUUGACGGGACCCGCACAAGCAGCGGAGCGUGUGGUUUAAUUCGUUGCUACACGAAGAACCUUACCUGGGUUUGACAUAUAGGUUGUAGGGAACUGAAAAGGGACCGACCCUUCGGGGAGCCUAUACAGGUGUUGCAUGGCUGUCGUCAGCUCGUGUCGUGAGAUGUUCGGUUAAGUCCGCUAACGAGCGCAACCCUCGUCGUAUGUUAUAUGUGUCAUACGAGACUGCCGGUAAAAAGCCGGAGGAAGGUGAGGAUGAUGUCAAGUCAGCAUGACCUUUAUAUCCAGGGCUACACACACGCUACAAUGGUCUGUACAAUGGGUAGCCAAGCCGCGAGGCGGAGCCAAUCCUAAAAAGCUGGCCUCAGUUCAGAUUGCAGUCUGAAACUCGACUGCAUGAAGUCGGAGUUGCUAGUAAACGCAGGUCAGCUAUACUGCGUUGAAUACGUUCCCGGGGCUU
rnacentral:rRNA from 1 species